CGAUGAAGGGAGCUUGCUCCUGGAUUAGUGGCGAACGGGUGAGUAACACGUGAGUAACCUGCCCUUAACUCUGGGAUAAGCCUGGGAAACUGGGUCUAAUACCGGAUAUGACCUUCCAUCGCAUGGUGGUUGGUGGAAAGCUUUUUGUGGUUUUGGAUGGACUCGCGGCCUAUCAGCUUGUUGGUGAGGUAAUGGCUUACCAAGGCGACGACGGGUAGCCGGCCUGAGAGGGUGACCGGCCACACUGGGACUGAGACACGGCCCAGACUCCUACGGGAGGCAGCAGUGGGGAAUAUUGCACAAUGGGCGCAAGCCUGAUGCAGCGACGCCGCGUGAGGGAUGACGGCCUUCGGGUUGUAAACCUCUUUCAGUAGGGAAGAAGCGAAAGUGACGGUACCUGCAGAAGAAGCGCCGGCUAACUACGUGCCAGCAGCCGCGGUAAUACGUAGGGCGCAAGCGUUAUCCGGAAUUAUUGGGCGUAAAGAGCUCGUAGGCGGUUUGUCGCGUCUGCCGUGAAAGUCCGGGGCUCAACUCCGGAUCUGCGGUGGGUACGGGCAGACUAGAGUGAUGUAGGGGAGACUGGAAUUCCUGGUGUAGCGGUGAAAUGCGCAGAUAUCAGGAGGAACACCGAUGGCGAAGGCAGGUCUCUGGGCAUUAACUGACGCUGAGGAGCGAAAGCAUGGGGAGCGAACAGGAUUAGAUACCCUGGUAGUCCAUGCCGUAAACGUUGGGCACUAGGUGUGGGGGACAUUCCACGUUUUCCGCGCCGUAGCUAACGCAUUAAGUGCCCCGCCUGGGGAGUACGGCC
rnacentral:rRNA from 1 species